GGGCCCGUGGGACCUGGGUCCGGACCCAGAAGCCGCUGAGUGGGCCCGUGGGACCUGGGUCCGGACCCAGAAGCCGCUGAGUGGGCCCGUGGGACCUGGGUCCGGACCCAGAAGCCGCUGAGUGGGCCCGUGGGACCUGGGUCCGGACCCAGAAGCCUGCUCUGCUCGCAGUGGAUAACUUUCUUUCUGAAGUUCAUUUUCCAAGGACAAAGGGAUCAUUAGGACAAACUAUUAUUACUGCUUCAUGGUGGAGAUGCUUCUGGUUUCUGUUGUGGCUGCCGCUGUUAUUUGGAGUGCCUCACCAAGCCGGCUGACAACUGCCCCACUUGCCCUUCAGGAUGCAAAGCCCUCUUCUCUAAAAUGCCUGCCGGGCCAGGUGCAGUGGCUCACGCCUGACCUCCCAACACUUUGGGAGGCCGAGGCAGGGGGAUCGCUUGAGCACAGGAGUUUGAGACCAGCCUGGGCAACAUUGUGAGGCCCUGUUCCUUGAAUUGCCCUGGGAGAUUUCCUCAGCUUGUGCUGGGGGCAUGUGGCCCCGUGAAGCCCGUAGUCACUGUCCACCCCGAGGGACGCUGGCUUUGGGGCUCACACGCCUACUGCGGGGCAGCCCCAGGAGAUGGCCGCCCUGUUCCUCCCUGGAGCUGGAGCUGCAAUGUGUGCUCAGCAGCUGUGGUGGCUGUUCUGUUUUGUUUGCAUCUUAUAAACCAUUUACCUGAUUACAUUUUCCUCUUCAAUUUAGCUGCUGGAAAAUUUAAAGUCUGGUUGGUGGCUCGCCAGUAAUGAGAGUUUAGAGUAGAGGUAAACUUUAUGACAGUCUUAGACCUCUUCACUUUCUCCUCAGCCAACAUGGUUAACAUUUACUUUAUUUUGCUGUACUGUGUCUUUGUGUUUCCUGAGUUCCUUCUGGAAUAAGGCGGGUCAUUAGUGAGCACAGGUUUCUGGUCGUCUCACAGCCUCAGGCAGUGGGCGGUGCUGUCCGUGCUCCCUUUCCGGUUGCCUGUGGUAGCUCUCAAGUUGCAGGGCUGCGAUUUGAAGCCUGAUGUAGUGCACCAUGUUUCUGUCGUGUUCUGUGGUGGUUUGCUCCUCACGUGUGAGCAUUCACCCUGUGGCCCUGUGUUUUUCCACCACACCUCUGCCUGGUGGCAUCCUACUGGAUGUCUCAGCCGAGCCACUCUGUUCUGGAUGCCCUUGUCCCCAACCCCUUUGCUCUGGGCUCUGAGCUGCUUCUGCCUUUCAUCUCUGUAGGAUGAAGCCCCACCCACCCUUCAGGAUGCCAGCCUUGGCAACAUCGUGAGACCCUGUUUCUACAAAAAGUCAACAAAAUGAACCCAGUGUGGUGGUGCACGCCUGUAGUCCCAGCUACUUGGGAGGCUGAGAUGGGAAGAUCACUUGAGCCUGGGAGGUUGAGGCUGCAUUGAGCUGAGAUCAAGCCACAGCACUCCAGCCUGGGAGACAGAGCGAAACCCUAUCUCAAAAAAACAAAGAAAGUGGAUGCGUGCUGCUCCUGCCAUUGGGUCAUCGCAGCAUUUUUCUUUUCUCUGAUGCGCACCUUUUUCCUCAUCGUGGGGCCUCAUGUUUUCAUAGUUCCCUCUCACUACUGGAUUGUGAGCUGCGUGAAGGAAGGUUCAUAGUUGUGUUGUAUGUACAGGCACACAAAAUUUGUCUUUGGACAGACACAUAUCAAUCCACUUCCUUCUCCUCUCUGAAUUUCUUUAUAUGAAAAAAUAAUUAGAGAUGGAGUCUCACUGUCUUUCCCAGGCUGGUCUCAAACUCCUAGGCUCAAGUGAUCGUCCCGCCUCAGCCUAUACUAAUAUGAAUUCCUCUACUAAUGUGAUUGAAAUUAGUGUGACUUCUAUAAAAAUUUUUCUCCCAGAUUGGGCUUCUGUUUUGAUAGUAGAAGUAAAUUAUUAGGCUAUUUCAAGAAAUUAAUAUAUUACUGGUAGAAAAACUGAAGCUACAAAAUGGCCUGGUUUCUCACCUCAGUUAAAUUUGUGCUUCUGAGUGUUUGUAUUGUAGGUGAAACUGCACUGAGAAGGUAUUUGUGGCCCGUACACUGAUUCCUUGAUGAGACUUGUUUGCACAGGAGAGUUGCUAAAAAUUACUGCUCUCAGGGAGGUCUGUGGUAAACAGGUAUGAAGAAGAAAACUGUUCUCUGCCCUUCUUUUUGCAAUAAAAUGUUACAAACUAUCUUGAGUUCGAUCCCUUUUCAGGUGUUUGGGUUUUUUUUUUUUUAAACAUUCACAUAUUUCUUGGAAUCAUAAAAAAUUAACUUUGUGCUUCUGAAGUAGGUUUGCCUUAAUAUAACACUGAUGUAUUUGUAAGGGGCAUUUUUAAAGCUGUACUUUAAAAAAUAAUAAUUCUUACAUUCUUUUGAA